rnacentral:rRNA from 1 species
UACGUAGGGUGCAAGCGUUGUCCGGAAUUAUUGGGCGUAAAGAGCGUGUAGGCGGCCCGAUUAGUCCGCUGUGAAAGUCCAGGGCUCAACCCUGGAAAGCCGGUGGAUACUGUCGGACUAGAGUGCGGAAGAGGCGAGUGGAAUUCCCGGUGUAGCGGUGAAAUGCGCAGAUAUCGGGAGGAACACCAAUUGCGAAGGCAGCUCGCUGGGACGUUACUGACGCUGAGACGCGAAAGCGUGGGGAGCAAACAGG